rnacentral:rRNA from 1 species
GNAUGGGCGCAGCCUGAUGCAGCGACGCCGCGUGCGGGAUGGAGGCCUUCGGGANANUAAACCUCUUNNAUCGGGGAGCAAGCGAGAGUGAGUUUACCCGCUUGAAUAAGCACCGGCUAACUACGUGCCAGCAGCCGCGGUAAUACGUAGGGUGCAAGCGUUAUCCGGAAUUAUUGGGCGUAAAGGGCUCGUAGGCGGUUCGUCGCGUCCGGUGUGAAAGUCCAUCGCUUAACGGUGGAUCUGCGCCGGGUACGGGCGGGCUGGAGUGCGGUAGGGGAGACUGGAAUUCCCGGUGUAACGGUGGAAUGUGUAGAUAUCGGGAAGAACACCAAUGGCGAAGGCAGGUCUCUGGGCCGUUACUGACGCUGAGGAGCGAAAGCGUGGGGAGCGAACAGGAUUAGAUACCCUGGUAGUCCAAGGGCGAAUUC